GGCCUAAUACAUGCAAGUCGAACGAUAGUUGGGGCUUGCCCCAACGAAAGUGGCGCACGGGUGCGUAACGCGUAUGCAACCUACCUUAAUCUGGGGGAUAGCCCGGAGAAAUCCGGAUUAAUACCGCAUAAAAUCACAGCACGGCAUUGUGCAAUGAUCAAACAUUUAUGGGAUGGGGAUGGGCAUGCGUGUCAUUAGCUAGUUGGCGGGGUAACGGCCCACCAAGGCGACGAUGACUAGGGGAUCUGAGAGGAUGGCCCCCCACACUGGUACUGAGACACGGACCAGACUCCUACGGGAGGCAGCAGUAAGGAAUAUUGGUCAAUGGGGGCAACCCUGAACCAGCCAUGCCGCGUGCAGGAAGACAGCCCUAUGGGUCGUAAACUGCUUUUACCCGGGAAUAAACCUAUCUACGAGUAGAUAGCUKAAUGUACCGGGGGAAUAAGGAUCGGCUAACUCCGUGCCAGCAGCCGCGGUAAUACGGAGGAUCCAAGCGUUAUCCGGAUUUAUUGGGUUUAAAGGGUGCGUAGGCGGCCUGUUAAGUCAGGGGUGAAAGACGGUAGCUCAACUAUCGCAGUGCCCUUGAUACUGAUGGGCUUGAAUGGACUAGAGGUAGGCGGAAUGAGACAAGUAGCGGUGAAAUGCAUAGAUAUGUCUCAGAACACCGAUUGCGAAGGCAGCUUACUAUGGUUCUAUUGACGCUGAGGCACGAAAGCGUGGGGAUCAAACAGGAUUAGAUACCCUGGUAGUCCACGCCCUAAACGAUGAACACUCGCUGUUGGCGAUACACAGUCAGCGGCUAAGCGAAAGCGUUAAGUGUUCCACCUGGGGAGUACGGUCGCAAGAUU
rnacentral:rRNA from 1 species